rnacentral:rRNA from 1 species
AUUGAACGCUGGCGGCAUGCCUUACACAUGCAAGUCGAGCGGCAGCGCGGGGGCAACCCUGGCGGCGAGCGGCGGACGGGUGAGUAAUACAUCGGAACGUGUCCUUUCGUGGGGGAUAACCAGCCGAAAGACUGGCUAAUACCGCAUGAGAUCUCACGAUGAAAGCGGGGGACCGCAAGGCCUCGCGCGAUUGGAGCGGCCGAUGUCGGAUUAGCUAGUUGGCGGGGUAAAAGCCCACCAAGGCGACGAACCGUAGCUGGUUUGAGAGAACGACCAGCCACACUGGGACUGAGACACGGCCCAGACUCCUACGGGAGGCAGCAGUGGGGAAUUUUGGACAAUGGGGGCAACCCUGAUCCAGCCAUGCCGCGUGUGUGAAGAAGGCCUUCGGGUUGUAAAGCACUUUUGGCCGGAACGAAAUCGCGCGGAUUAAUAACCCGCGUGGAUGACGGUACCGGAAGAAGAAGCACCGGCUAACUACGUGCCAGCCGCCGCGGUAA